AUAGGAAUCUGCCCGGUAGUGGGGGAUAACUUGAGGAAACUCAAGCUAAUACCGCAUACGCCCCAAGGGGGAAAGCAGGGGAUCUUCGGACCUUGCGCUAUCGGAUGAGCCUAUGUCGGAUUAGCUAGUUGGUGAGGUAAUGGCUCACCAAGGCCGCGAUCCGUAGCUGGUCUGAGAGGAUGAUCAGCCACAUCGGGACUGAGACACGGCCCGAACUCCUACGGUAGGCAGCAGUGGGGAAUAUUGGACA
rnacentral:rRNA from 1 species